UGGGUUUGUGUACCGGCGAAAAUUGCGCGGCACUAGAGAGGCUAGGAAUGGUGGAAGGUGAAAGUGCAUCUAUACCAUGGACUCACAUUAGUCAUGAAGAACUCACAUACUUGUUACGAAAGUUUUUAUUAGUAAUCGAAACAAAGUGCUAAACGUAUACUCCUAGGGGAAGGGUUGGUAGGUGUUAACCAUCGCGCGAUCACGACCUCAACACAAAGGUUGACAAUCAAUAGAUCAAUUAUGCUCCGACUGCC
rnacentral:lncRNA from 1 species